AUCGUUAAGUAAUUUGUCGAUAUACCUUUGGUAACUGAGUCUGUCCAAUGCCUUCCCGAAGUUGAUCCAAAGAAGACUAAACCAAGACCACCUGACUGAUGGCUAUUCCACUGCUGACGUCAUUUCCAGUUUUCGGUCUCCUGGACCCGCCCCUUAUGUUCCACCGACCACAUAAUCCACCAUUCAUCCUUCAUCCUCAGUUCUAUUCUGUUGUGAACUUCGUCUGCCAAACUUCAAGGAUAUGGCGUUACCAAGGUGGUACCCCCAACUCAUUUUUGGAAACAUGUGGCUCUCUGAUCCUCAAAUGAAGGUAGUUCAUCUGGAUUGAGCUGAACAUUUCCAUUUGGCAAGAAAGUGUUUUUUUUUUGUUUUCACCAUGAAAAAACAGCUUUACAGUGACCACAUUGAUGAUUUUGCUCAUUUGCUGGCAUGCAUUUCUCUCUUCUUCUCCUUUUUGAAUUCUGGGUCCUGUAUUAAAUGC